rnacentral:rRNA from 1 species
CCCUUAGAUGUUCCGGGCCGCACGCGCGCUACACUGAAUGGAUCAACGUGUUUUCCCUUCCCGAGAGGGACGGGUAACCCGCUGAACCCCAUUCGUGGUAGGGAUCGGAGCUUGCAAUUGUUCUCCGUGAACCAGGAAUUCCCAGUAAGCGCAAGUCAUAAGCUUGCGUUGAUUACGUCCCUGCCCUUUGUACACACCGCCCGUCGCACCUACCGAUUGAAUGGUCCGGUGAAGGCUUCGGAGGCGGCUUUCUCAAUGUUUAUUCGGCGAGACUGCUGCCAAAGUUGAAUGAACCUUACCAUUUAGAGGAAGGUGAAGUCGUAACA